GUCCAGCAGCGUAUAAAUCUCAGCUGCCUGGGCCUUGCUGCAUCUUCUGCACACGAUGUCCUCAAUUAGCAACAUGAAGCUGGGCAGCCUCUUCCUCCUGGCCAUUCUCCUCACCCUCAACACAAGACUCCAGGCAAUUGCCAUCUGUAGCAUCGAGUGCCGUGAAGACAGGGAUUGUGGGAGAGGAAAAGUGUGCAUCCAGGAUGGCUGUCGGCGAAUCUGCUCCCCGCUGAUGAGUGUAGGCAUCUGUGAGUCCCAGUGCUUCAGAGAUCGGGACUGUGGAGCUGGAAGAGGGUGAGUCAGCAAAGGCUGUAAUCGGGUCUGCUCCCCUGCACCAGAAGCAUCAAUAGGAAUCUGUGUGCAACGCUGCCGAGGAAACUGGGACUGUGGGGCUGGAGAACGAUGUAUCAGGAAGGGAUGCAGUCGCGUCUGCUCUCCAGUCCGCACAGCAGGGGUAGGUAUCUGCCUGGACCAAUGCCAAGGACACCGGGACUGCCCAGCAGGAAGCCGAUGUGAGCAAUGGAUGUGGCCGUGUCUGCUCACCCACCCAGGACCGGCGAGCGGAACAGAGACCUGGAACGUGUCCAAGGGUGCCAGAAGGAACGUUUAGAACUUGUGCUGAAACGUGCGCAGGAGAUGGAUCCUGUCCCCCGGGCCAAAAAUGCUGCAGCAAUGGCUGUGGAAAAUCUUGCCAAGUCCCUGAUCUGGGCCUCACUAUCCAUUUGGAUGAUAAAUGAACCUUGGCCUCCUUCAGUAAUUGUUUCCAAAUGUCAUCUUUAUUCUGAGAUCUGUGCUUUCUUACUGUCUUUUCUGGAACCCCAGGAUCACAGGAUGUGGAUCCAAAAUAACUCAGUUUUUAAGUGUUGAAUUUGGGCAAUUAUUUGAUGAUUCAUAGCAUGACUGCUUCUAAAAUUAUCUUUUUUCUGAAUAAAAUGAUUUCUGUGGCAUUAUCCAACC
ensembl:lncRNA